rnacentral:misc_RNA from 1 species
UUGGACACGACAAUGGAUGUCAAUUUUCACCAUUGAACACUCUUCCUGUUGGUAGAAGCGAGCAUGUUUUUUUGUCUUUAGAGUUGAAAAGAGGAGCUUAGAGCUCCUAUUAGAGGUUGUUGAAGCAGGGUCCUGUCCAUAGACGCGAAGUACAGGUCGACAGCCUCUCCCUCCAUCAAAUAGAGGAGGAAAACUAAGUUUAAUGCAAUCUAAGGCAAAAGGUGUAUCUGAUGGCAGCCAUUCUGAACCAAAAUUUUUUCUGGAGAUGUACUGGAGAUAUCUAAGCUGAGA